rnacentral:rRNA from 1 species
CGCGUGUCGUAACCCGCAAGGGGGCACGUCGCCAAGGAUGUCAUGAUUGGGGUG